UACGGGGGGGGGUAAGCGUUGUUCGGAAUUACUGGGCGUAAAGGGCUCGUAGGCGGCCAACUAAGUCAUACGUGAAAUCCCUCAGCUUAACUGGGGGAACUGCGUGUGAUACUGGAUGGCUUGGAUUUGGGAGAGGGAUGCGGAAUUCCAGGUGUAGCGGUGAAAUGCGUAGAUAUCUGGAGGAACACCGGUGGCGAAGGCGGCCAACUGGACCACAACUGACGCUGAGGCGCGAAAGCGUGGGGAGCAAACAGG
rnacentral:rRNA from 1 species